AUUUCAGCCUGACAGCCUUUAGAGAUUUCUCUUGGGGCAGACAAAGAAGAUGAGAUACUGCCUUUAUUGUUUCUCCCUGAAGCCCCCCUAUAAGACAAGAUUUCAAAGCUGCUCAGACCCGAACAAUCACACAGAAACCAUAUUAAUUACAACACUGCUUGGCCAACCAUUCAGAAGGACGUGUGCAUUCUAAAGGAAAACAGAGAAGUCUAUGCAGCCUGCCACUAAGGAAAGAACUUAUGUUCAUAUUAAAAAUCUAUAAGUUAGACUUACUUCCCUUUGUCCCUGGCUCAUUGGGGCAUCCAGGAGUUCCUGUGUAGGUGCCGAGAAGUUUCAUCAGGACGGGUGAGUGUGUGCUAUCCUGGGGUGGACGGUCCCGGUAGAGAGCACAAACGCCCCUCCCCCAGCUCCUGCUGCAGGGCUUUCUCUCCUACACACCCGCCCCCACCCCCACCCCCAAGCCUGCCUUGUCUGCAAGGUCCUUAGCUGUGGAACAGUUUCCUGCCCUUUCACUAAGGC